rnacentral:rRNA from 1 species
AGAGUUUGAUCCUGGCUCAGGAUGAACGCUGGCGGUAUGCUUAACACAUGCAAGUCGAACGGUCUCUUCGGAGAUAGUGGCGGACGGGUGAGUAACGCGUGAGAAUCUGGCUUCAGGUUCGGGACAACAGAUGGAAACGUCUGCUAAUACCGAAUGUGCGGAAACGUGAAAGUUUUAAUGCCUGAAGAUGAGCUCGCGUCUGAUUAGCUAGUAGGUGUGGUAAAGGCGCACCUAGGCGACGAUCAGUAACUGGUCUGAGAGGACGAUCAGUCACACUGGAACUGAGACACGGUCCAGACUCCUACGGGAGGCAGCAGUGGGGAAUUUUCCGCAAUGGGCGAAAGCCUGACGGAGCAAUACCGCGUGAGGGAGGAAGGCUCUUGGGUUGUAAACCUCUUUUCUCAGGGAAUAAAAAAAUGAAGGUACCUGAGGAAUAAGCAUCGGCUAACUCCGUGCCAGCAGCCGCGGUAAUACGGAGGAUGCAAGCGUUAUCCGGAAUGAUUGGGCGUAAAGCGUCCGCAGGUGGCUAUGUAAGUCUGUUGUUAAAGCGUGCGGCUCAACCGCAUAAGGGCAAUGGAAACUACAAGGCUAGAGUGCGUUAGGGGUAGAGGGAAUUCCUGGUGUAGCGGUGAAAUGCGUAGAUAUCAGGAAGAACACCGGUGGCGAAGGCGCUCUACUAUGCCGCAACUGACACUGAGGGACGAAAGCUAGGGGAGCGAAUGGGAUUAGAUACCCCAGUAGUCCUAGCCGUAAACGAUGGACACUAGGCGUUGCUCGUAUCGACCCGAGCAGUGCCGUAGCCAACGCGUUAAGUGUCCCGCCUGGGGAGUACGCACGCAAGUGUGAAACUCAAAGGAAUUGACGGGGGCCCGCACAAGCGGUGGAGUAUGUGGUUUAAUUCGAUGCAACGCGAAGAACCUUACCAGGACUUGACAUGUCGCGAAUCUUCUUGAAAGGGRAGAGUGCCUUCGGGAGCGCGAACACAGGUGCUGCAUGGCUGUCGUCAGCUCGUGUCGUGAGAUGUUGGGUUAAGUCCCGCAACGAGCGCAACCCUCGUUUUUAGUUGCCAUCAUUAAGUUGGGCACUCUAGAGAGACUGCCGGUGACAAACCGGAGGAAGGUGAGGAUGACGUCAAGUCAGCAUGGCCCUUACGUCCUGGGCUACACACGUACUACAAUGCUACGGACAAAGGGCAGCUACACAGCGAUGUGAUGCAAAUCUCAUAAACCGUAGCUCAGUUCAGAUUGUAGGCUGCAACUCGCCUACAUGAAGUCGGAAUCGCUAGUAAUUGCAGGUCAGCAUACUGCAGUGAAUUCGUUCCCGGGCCUUGUACACACCGCCCGUCACACCAUGGGAGCUGGUUACGCCCGAAGUCGUUACUCUAACUGUUCGCAGAGGGGGACGCCGAAGGUAGAACUGGUGACUGGGGUGAAGUCGUAACAAGGUAGCCGUACCGGAAGGUGUGGCUGGAUCACCUCCUUUUUAGGGAGACCUACCCAUUUUAGAUUGAUGAUUUUGGUUUGAAGGCGAUGUCUUCGAGACAAACUCAUGUAAAGAGUCUAAGAUUUGGUCAUCACCUAGGUCGUUCGAGAAAUGGAUAAAAAGCUUUCAAACUGUUAGAUUGUUCGC